GGUACAAUCCUUAAAGUAUUAUGUAAAACAACUUUAUGGAUUACAAAUCUUAUUAGAUAAACAAGUUAAGCAGUCAAAUUUGAACAAACAAUCCUCACUUUUAGCAAAUUGAAUUGGUCAAAACCCGGUUAAAUCAAUGUUAUAUAGCAUCUCAUUCAUGGCGUUGCGUUGCCAAUGUCGCAAGCCACGACAACCGCCACCGUUUCUCUUUCUCACCACCAUCGAGUAGCCACCGAUCACUCACCUCUAUCACACUGACUGUUUCUAUCCGAUGCUGAAUGGAGGUGCAAAAAUGAAAUCGAACACAUGAACAGGAACAAGAACAUGGACGGAAAAAUAUUUUCUACACGCCAUUAAUCAUUGUGUCCACCGCCAUCACCACCCUAGAGACGGUGGUCGCCACCAUCUCUAACAACCAUAUACCCCUGAAAUCCACCACCUCUACGUCGGCUAUACCUUAAACCCAUGUUAACUACAUUGUCUCCUCACGUUCAUCUUCUCCAUCUACCAUCGCCAUCUUGAUCUCUUCGAUUCAUUCUCACCUUUCAAACCUUGAUCACCUCUCCGAUGUAAGACAUCCUUCGCCGUCGUCAACACUUUCUACCACAUCGACUUCUCUACCCUUAUCUGGAUCUGCCCCUUUUGUUUCCAACCACUUCCCUCAUCACUUCUCUGUAUAUCUGAAACCAAUGUUCCUGCAACACUCUACAUGGGGACCAAAAGUGCAUGUGUUCUAGGUGGCAUCCUCGCAACAAACCCAAUAUCUCAACAAAAUCCACAACAUGGAAAAGAUCACGAGUCAAAAUCUCCUCCAUACUAUCUAAUGAAGGUACCUAUUUGAAUCACAGAGAGAUUAAAGACCCAUGCUAUUUUUGACUUUUGUUUGUAUAAGACCUAAAGUAUGCUGUUGUUUUUUGCAACUUCCCAAUGUAUGUUGCUGUUUUUGGGGCUGUUGGGAUUGGACCCAUUUAUUUUGUUAUUAAAAGCGAAUGUUGUGACAAUCGAUUAUUUUGGUAUGUCUUAGCAAUUUUUUUUUAUUAAACAA